rnacentral:rRNA from 1 species
CCUANGGGUGGCUGCAGUGGGGAAUAUUGGACAAUGGGCGCAAGCCUGAUCCAGCAAUGCCGCGUGUGUGAAGAAGGCCUGCGGGUUGUAAAGCACUUUUAUCGGGAAAGAAAAGCUUAGGGCUAAUACCUCUAAGCCUUGACGGUACCCGAUGAAUAAGCACCGGCUAACUCCGUGCCAGCAGCCGCGGUAAUACGGAGGGUGCAAGCGUUAAUCGGAAUUACUGGGUGUAAAGGGUGCUCAGGUGGAUUUGUAAGUCAGAGGUGAAACUCCGGAGCUUAACUCCGGAACUGCCUUUGAUACUGCAAGUCUCGAGUUUGAGAGAGGGCAAUGGAAUAUCUGGUGUAGCAGUGAAAUGCGUAGAUAUCAGAUAGAACACCAAUGGCGAAGGCAGUUGCCUGGCUCAAUACUGACACUAAAGCACGAAAGUGUGGGGAGCAAACAGGAUUAGAUACCCUUNUANUC